AUUCCAGCUCCGAUAGCGUAUAUUAAAGUUGUUGCAGUUAAAAAGCUCGUAGUUGGAUUUCUGGUGGGAGUGAUCGGUCUGCCCCGUUAGGGGUGUGUACUAGUGUCGUCUCUUGCCAUCCUUGGGGAGAACUUGCCUGGCAUUAGGUUGUCGGGCACGGGAUCCCCAUCCUUUACUGUGAAAAAAUUAGAGUGUUUAAAGCAGGCAUUUUGCUGUGAAUACAUUAGCAUGGAAUAAUAACAUAGGACCCUGGUUCUAUUUUGUUGGUUGGAGGCCAAGGUAAUGAUUAAUAGGGACAGUUGGGGGUAUUCAUAUUUAAUUGUCAGAGGUGAAAUUCUUGGAUUUAUGAAAGAUGAACUCAUGCGAAAGCAUUUACCAAGGAUGUUUUCAUUA
rnacentral:rRNA from 1 species